UGGGGAAUAUUGCACAAUGGGCGAAAGCCUGAUGCAGCAACGCCGCGUGAGUGAUGAAGGCCUUCGGGUCGUAAAACUCUGUCCUCAAGGAAGAUAAUGACGGUACUUGAAGAGGAAGCCCCGGAUAACUACGUGCCAGCAGCCGCGGUAAUACGUAGGGGGCUAACGUUAUCCGGAUUUACUGGGCGUAAAGGGUACGUAGGUGGUUUCUUAAGUCAGGAGUGAAAGGCUACGGCUCAACCGUAGUAAGCUCUUGAAACAGGGAAACUUGAGGGCAGGUGAGGGAAGUGGAACUCCUAGUGUAGCGGUGAAAUGCGUAGAUAUUAGGAGGAACACCAGUAGCGAAGGCUGCUUUCUGGACUGUAACUGACACUCAGGCACGAAAGCGUGGGGAGCGAACA
rnacentral:rRNA from 1 species